GCAAGUCGAACGAGAAAGCUUCUUCGGAAGUGAGUAAAGUGGCGGACGGGUGAGUAACGCGUAGGAAUCUACCUUUCAGUGGGGGAUAGCUCGGGGAAACUCGAAUUAAUACCGCAUAUACCCUUAGGGGGAAAGGGGGCCUCUCCUUGGAAGCUCUCGCUGUUAGAUGAGCCUGCGUGAGAUUAGCUUGUUGGUAAGGUAAUGGCUUACCAAGGCUACGAUCUCUAGCUGGUCUGAGAGGACGAUCAGCCACACUGGGACUGAGACACGGCCCAGACUCCUACGGGAGGCAGCAGUAGGGAAUAUUGGACAAUGGGGGAAACCCUGAUCCAGGCAUGCCGCGUGUGUGAAGAAGGCCUUAGGGUUGUAAAGCACUUUAAGUGAGGAAGAAAAGAUUCAAAUUAAUACUUUGAAUCCCUGACAUUACUCACAGAAUAAGGACCGGCUAACUCCGUGCCAGCAGCCGCGGUAAUACGGAGGGUCCAAGCGUUAAUCGGAAUUACUGGGCGUAAAGCGCGCGUAGAUGGUUUGUCUAGUUGGGUGUGAAAUCCCUGGGCUCAACCCAGGAACUGCAUUCAAAACUUAUAAACUAGAGUACGAAAGAGGAGAGCAGAAUUCAUGGUGUAGCGGUGAAAUGCGUAGAUAUCAUGAGGAAUACCAGUGGCGAAGGCGGCUCUCUGGUUCGAGACUGACAUUGAGGUGCGAAAGCGUGGGUAGCAAACAGGAUUAGAUACCCUGGUAGUCCACGCCGUAAACGAUGAGAACUAGCCGUUGGAUCUUUAGAUUCAGUGGCGCAGCUAACGCAUUAAGUUCUCCGCCUGGGGAGUACGGCCGCAAGGCUAAAACUCAAAUGAAUUGACGGGGGCCCGCACAAGCGGUGGAGCAUGUGGUUUAAUUCGAUGCAACGCGAAGAACCUUACCAACCCUUGACAUCCAGUGGAAGUUUUAGAGAUAAAACUGUGCC
rnacentral:rRNA from 1 species